rnacentral:tRNA from 1 species
CUCGUGGUAUAUCUAAUGCUAGUAGAAGUUAGAUCAGAAAGGUUGAAAUCUGGGUCAUGCAUCUGGAAAGCGCUGGUUCAAAUCCAGCUCGUGACA